rnacentral:rRNA from 1 species
GAUGAACGCUCGCGGCAGGCCUAACACAUGCAAGUCGAGGGGGAAGUUACUUUCGGGUGACUGAGACCGGCGUACGGGUGCGUAACGCGUAUACAAUCUGCCUUUCACUGGGGGAUAGCCCGAAGAAAUUUGGAUUAAUACCCCAUAGUAUAUAGGGACGGCAUCGUUUUUAUAUUAAAGCUUAGGUGGUGAAAGAUGAGUAUGCGUUCUAUUAGCUAGUUGGAGAGGUAACGGCUCCCCAAGGCGAUGAUAGAUAGGGGUUCUGAGAGGGAUGUCCCCCACACUGGUACUGAGAUACGGACCAGACUCCUACGGGAGGCAGCAGUGAGGAAUAUGGGACAAUGGUCGGAAGACUGAUCCAGCCAUGCCGCGUGCAGGAUGAAGGUCUUAUGGAUUGUAAACUGCUUUUGUAAGGGAAGAAUAAGGGCUACGCGUAGUUUGAUGACGGUACCUUACGAAUAAGCAGCGGCUAACUCCGUG